AUGGCGGAUGCCAUACCCUGCCCACCGGAGCCCUCCGCCAGUGCCCUCGAUGCCGCAGCUCCAUCUUGGAACAACUCUGACGCCGACCAACAGACGCUCCUCUGCCUCAAGUCUGGCCUUGCCAGCAACCUCACCACUGGAGCGCUGGCAACAUGGCGACACGACUCCCAGAGCUUCUGUCAAUGGCGCGGUGUGACAUGCAGCACCGUGCAGAGCGCAGCACCUCGUGUUGUUGCGCUAGACCUCAUGUCGCUGAACCUUACCGGUCAGAUUCCUCCUUGCAUUGGCAACCUCAGUUUCUUGACCAGGAUAAACAUGCCGGACAAUAAGAUCAGUGGCAGCAUUCCCCCGGAGAUAGGCCGCCUGGCACAACUCAGACAACUAAACCUCAGCAUCAACUCCAUAGGCGGCAUGAUCCCCGAUGCACUGUCAAUGUGUUCCCGCCUGGAGAUCAUAAGCCUGUCAAGCAACCUCCUGGAAGGUGAGAUCCCUUCAGCUCUUGCUCAAAGUUCAUCCCUCGAACAGCUUGUCCUCAGUGACAACUUUCUUCAGGGGCACAUACCACCCGGGUUUGCCUUGCUUCCGAACCUUUCUAUAUUAUCCUUUGCUAGGAACAAGCUUUCAGGCACCAUUCCUCGGUUCCUAGGAGGCAACUCGCGUCUUACCAAGCUUGCUCUCGACAACAAUGCGUUCACAGGAGAAAUUCCACGCUUCCUAGUGAAUUCCUCCUCGCUUGCUUACCUCAACCUUGCAUCAAACAAGCUCCGUGGAGAGAUCCCUCCUGCACUAUUCAAUAGCUCAUUGCUUUACACCUUAAAUCUCUCUUACAAUGGUUUUUCCGGGUCAAUCCCGUCCUUCGCUCAUGCAUCCUCUCCCUUGAAAUAUCUUAGCUUGACUAGCAAUAACCUUUCAGGGAGCAUACCUAGCUCAUUAGGGAACUUUUCCUCCCUAUCCUUCCUAUUGCUUGCUCUGAACAACUUACAAGAGAGCAUUCCAGAGAGCUUAGGUAGCCUUGCAGGUUUGCAAGUAUUAGACAUGACAUAUAACAACUUGUCAGGCACAGUUCCUCCAACUAUAUAUGCAAUCCCAUCUCUAACUUAUCUUGGCCUUGGAGCCAACCAGCUAUCUGGGAGAAUUCCAACCAACAUUGGCUAUACACUUCUGAGAAUUCAGAUGUUGGUAAUGCAAGGUAACCAGUUUGAUGGCCCAGUACCUGCUUCUUUGGCAAAUGCCUCUGACCUAAAAUACCUUGGCCUCCGCAAUAACGCAUUCAGUGGUAUCAUUCCUUCUCUGGGGUCUUUGACAAACUUGGUCACUCUAGAUCUGGGUGACAAUCUGCUUGAAGCUGGUGACUGGACUUUCUUGUCCUCACUAACAAGUUGCACCCAGUUGCAAAAGUUAUACUUGGAUAGGAAUAAUCUUCAAGGAGAGUUACCUACUUCCAUUGGCAAUCUUCCGAAAAACUUACAGUGGUUGCUUCUGAAUGAUAACCAAAUAACUGGUUUCAUACAUCCAGAUAUAGGAAAUCUCAGCAGUCUCACUCUUAUUCAUAUGGAGAGAAAUUUCCUCUCAGGGAAUAUUCCUGCUACACUUGGAAAUAUUCAGACUCUGUUUGUCCUGAAUUUAGCAGAAAACAAAUUUUCUGGAGAAGUCCACGAUCAAUUGGAAACCUUGAGAAGCUAA
rnacentral:rRNA from 1 species